rnacentral:rRNA from 1 species
UACGUAGGGUGCAAGCGUUAAUCGGAAUUACUGGGCGUAAAGCGUGCGCAGGCGGUUUUGUAAGUCUGUCGUGAAAUCCCCGGGCUCAACCUGGGAACUGCAUUUGUGACUGCAUCGCUGGAGUGCGGCAGAGGGGGAUGGAAUUCCGCGUGUAGCAGUGAAAUGCGUAGAUAUGCGGAGGAACACCGAUGGCGAAGGCGGCCUCUGGCUUGUAACUGACGCUGUAGCGCGAAAGCGUGGGGAGCAAACAGG